CGCCGCCCAAUUAUUUCCGCCGUCUAGUGCAGAAAUAAUUAAAAGCAAAGACUUCUAUUUAUUUUUUAUUAUUACCAGCCACCGCCUCCGCUUACCCAACUCCCGAGCCGACCGACCCAUGGAGAAGGAGGGCGGCGACGGAGCACCAUUGCGAUCCCCGGCGACGACGGUUCCACCGGCGGAGGAAGAGAUCCCGGCGGGCCUUACGCCUGAGGAGUACUCCGAUCUGCGUCCCCGAGUGGCAUCCCAUCAUCGGUACCAUGUUGACCCGGCACAGUGCUCCUCCCUCCUCGCCCAGCGGAUCCGCGCUCCCGCUGACAUCGUCUGGUCCGUGGUCCGCCGCUUCGACCGGCCCCAGGCCUACAAGCACUUCAUCCGCAGCUGCGCCAUCAAGGGCGACGGGGAGAUCCGCCCGGGCUGCCUCCGCGAGGUCAGUGUCAUCUCCGGCCUGCCGGCCAGUACCAGCACCGAGCGACUCGACGUUCUCGAUGAGGCCGGGCGGGUCACCGGCUUCACCAUCGUCGGCGGCGAGCACCGCCUCCGCAACUACCGAUCCGUCACCACCGUCGACGAGGUGUGCCCCAAGGGCGAGGGGGAGGGCGCGCCCUGGGCGGUGGUCCUGGAAUCGUAUGUGGUGGACGUGCCGGAGGGGAACACGGAGGAAGACACUCGUCUCUUCGCCGACACCGUCGUCCGCCUCAACCUCCAGAAGCUCGCGUCCCUGGCGGAGGCGAUGGCCGCGGCGGAAUCCGAGGAGGCCAAAGCCGCCGCGGCGCCGCCGCCCUCGGCGAAGUGAGUUGCCUCCCCGACUCUUGCUUUGGGGUUUCUGAUGUGAUGUUGUGAUCAGAGCUGGUGCUUAUGCUUAUGGAGAAUGAAAGGUUUAUAUAUGAGGACUGGACAUGCCUCAUACCCCAGCCAAUUUGAAGUUCCCUUAGUAUUGGGAAUAGGAAUGCUUCCUUAAUCUACAACUAUGUGAGACAACGCAUUUGGCUUGUUUGGCCUAUGUAGACAAUUUCCAAAUAUGAAUUGG